rnacentral:rRNA from 1 species
ACGGAAUAGAUACCCAGGUAGUCCAUGCCGUAAACUAUGGAUACUAGCUGUUGGGGGUAUCGACCCCUCCAGUAGCGAAAGCUAAACGCGUUAAGUAUCCCGCCUGUGGAGUACGAUCGCAAGAUUAAAACAUAAAGGAAUUGACGGGGACCCGCACAAGCGGUGGAGCGUGUUCUUUAAAUUCGAUGCUAAACGAAGAACCUUACCAGGGCUUGACAUCCCUUGAAUUACUCCGAAAGGAGUGAGUGCUUUAUUGAGCAAGGUGACAGGUGAUGCAUGGCCGUCGUCAGCUCGUGUCGUGAGAUGUUUGGUUAAGUCCAUCAACGAGCGCAACCCUUAUACUUAGUUG